GCAGAAUCCCGUGAAUCAUCAAGUCUUUGAACGCAAGUUGCGCCCGAGGCCUCGGCCAAGGGCACGUCUGCUUGGGCGUCGCACUCCAAAACUGCCCUCCCCCGCGAGGAGCGUAGAUGGCCGUCCGUGUCCGCAAGUGGGGCGGUCGGCUGAAAUGAGCACGAGGUCCGUCGAUCCGUCGCGACGAGCGGUGGUUCCCAAAGGCCGGCGUUGGUUUGCGCUGAUCGAGCGAUGCCUCGUGUGGAACUUUAUCUUUGGUGCCCCGGCCCGCCAGAGUGCGGGCAUGGUGCAUCUCUACCGCGUCCCCAAGUCAGGCGUGAAUACCCGCUGAGUUUAAGCAUAUCACUAAGCGGAGGAAAAGAAACUUACCAGGAUUCCCCUAGUAACGGCGAGCGAACCGGGAAGAGCCCAGCAUGAAAAUCGACGGCCCCGCCUGUCGA
rnacentral:rRNA from 1 species